CCUCCCCACCGUGCGGCCGGCACCUGUGACGUCACAGCCAGCACCAGCUGACGGCGGGAGGAGGAAGAGGCGGCGGGGCGGGCCACGCUUUUUUAAAGAAGGAGGCGGGGCCGCCUCAAUGGGGCGUUGUAAGAAACCUGGGGCUCGGGAUAAAUCCAAAGUGGUUGCCUUCAGGCUGCUUGAUUUUUAACGUAGUCGAGAUGGGCUGUCCUUCAGCCUUCAGGAAGCAAAGACUGCUUGCCACCUGCGCUGGUUAUCAGCAGUGCCUGUGUGUGAUCACCUGGCGCUGUGCAUUGACAAAGUUCUCUGCCAUUAAGCAGGGGGUGUUUUUGUGAGAGGACGUUUCCAUGUGGAAGCGGACGCUCUGUAACUCAGGGAUAACGAGCCAAUGUGUGGUAGUUCACAAAGGUGUUUUCUCACCUCAUCCUGCAAAGAGCCUCACAUUUCCAUUUUAAUUGGGGAACUUGUAUUCAUCACUGAUGAUCCAGCUCAAUAUCUGCCAAAAUCAAAUUUUCAGCAAAUUGCAAAUCAGUCCAAGACACCUAGAGGUAUAAAAAAUACCUGGAAAGACCUAAGCAAAGCAACACAGUGUGCAGGUUCGGUUCUACUUCAUCUGCAUGGAUCUAUAUUACAGACCUGAAGUAGAAACAAACACACCAUAAUCAGAGCAGGAUGUAUAAUGGUGCACUGGUUAGCUGUCUGAAGGACAAGGAGAAUUGCCCCUGAAGGAAACCACCACAGAUGAAACCUGUGAUCUCUGCACUGGAAAACUGAGUAAUAGCCAAAACCGAAAAUAAAAUGAAACAAUGAAAGUGCUAAAUGAC
rnacentral:lncRNA from 1 species